AUGAUUUCACUGAGAAGGUUCCCAACUAACACCUAAAUGGAUAGCUGGCUGAACCUAGCUCGCUAAAGGAAAGGAAGUGUACGGGAUGUUAAAAGGAAUAGCCUAACUACUCCGUGUUUAUUUGCCACCUACUGCUAGCUGGUUAGCUACUAGCUAGCUAGUUAGAAAGAUAGCAAGAAAGACCCCUAACCGUACUACCACCUGCGUUUACAAACCCAAAGGAAAUCACCAACGGAUGUCUUACACCCGCAGAGCUUGGUGGGUGUACAUUGUCAAUAAGUAUUUCUAACAGUUAACGCUAAGCAACAACGUCCAAACAUAUGAACCAAACUUACACACGUGUAUACCAGUGGCUGCGCAAUAGAAAGUACGUCAUCAAACAGCGACUUUUCCACAAACCUUUCCUACAUGACUAGUGACCACAUCUGACAUUUUUAGGUGUAUGGCGGUGAACGGGCCCCAGUCCUCUGAAUAAUAUUGGAAAUGUCUCACGGUCAUCGUUGGUUGGCUAGAUACAGCAUACGUUGUGAGAGCCAAACUGUGACGUCAGGAAGUGUUCUGAUGCCGAGGGAUCCACCUUUGGCUGCUGAGGUUCUUGUCUAGGAGACAUCCCAACCUGCUGAGACUCAUUUCCGUGAGUCGACUCCCCCCCCCCCCCCCCCCCCAUACAGCAAGCCCACGUGAAGCAGUGCAGUAAUAAUCAUCGAGUAGUAACCAUCAAAAAGCAAUACCACACACACAUUGUAUAGCAUUUGCGGGUGUCCGCUAUUGAAAUGCGGGAGACUCCCGGAACAUCCGGGAGACUUGGGAUGUCUGUCUAUCAGACUCCCCGAAGAAAACACCAGUAGUCCAUCUCCACUACAGCAAGCCCACGUGAAGCAGUGCAGUAAUAAUCAUCAAGUAGUAACCAUCAAAAAGCAAUACCAAAUGAAACACAAAAUGAUAACUUUAUUGAGAACAACAUUAAGUCAAGCAUCUGUGUGAGCGAGAGAGAGAGAGAGAGAGA